rnacentral:rRNA from 1 species
ACUCAAAGGAAUUGACGGGGACCCGCACAAGCGGUGGAACAUGUGGUUUAAUUCGAGGCAACGCGAAGAACCUUACCAGGACUUGACAUGCCCUCUAUGGGAUUGAGAGAUCAAUCCCUUCACUUCGGGUGGGAGGUGCACAGGUGCUGCAUGGCUGUCGUCAGCUCGUGUCGUGAGAUGUUGGGUUAAGUCCCGCAACGAGCGCAACCCUCAUCCUCUGUUGCUAACAGGUAAUGCUGAGAACUCUGAGGAAACUGCCGGUGAUAAGCCGGAGGAAGGUGGGGAUGACGUCAAGUCCUCAUGGCCCUUACGUCCUGGGCUACACACGUGUUACAAUGGCAGUGACAAUGGGCAGCUACUCCGCGAGGAGAUGCUAAUCCCAAAAAGCUGCCUCAGUUCGGAUUGUACUCUGCAACUCGAGUACAUGAAGUUGGAAUCGCUAGUAAUCGCGCAUCAGCUCGGCGCGGUGAAUACGUUCCCGGGUCUUGUACACACCGCCCGU